rnacentral:rRNA from 1 species
GAUGAACGCUGGCGGCGUGCCUAAUACAUGCAAGUCGAGCGAACGGACGAGAAGCUUGCUUCUCUGAUGUUAGCGGCGGACAGGUGAGUAACACGUGGAUAACCUACCUAUAAGACUGGGAUAACUUCGGGAAACCGGAGCUAAUACCGGAUAAUAUUUUGAACCGCAUGGUUCAAAAGUGAAAGACGGUCUUGCUGUCACUUAUAGAUGGAUCCGCGCUGCAUUAGCUAGUUGGUAAGGUAACGGCUUACCAAGGCAACGAUGCAUAGCCGACCUGAGAGGGUGAUCGGCCACACUGGAACUGAGACACGGUCCAGACUCCUACGGGAGGCAGCAGUAGGGAAUCUUCCGCAAUGGGCGAAAGCCUGACGGAGCAACGCCGCGUGAGUGAUGAAGGUCUUCGGAUCGUAAAACUCUGUUAUUAGGGAAGAACAUAUGUGUAAGUAACUGUGCACAUCUUGACGGUACCUAAUCAGAAAGCCACGGCUAACUACGUG